rnacentral:rRNA from 1 species
UAAGCAGAUAGUGAAAUCUCGUGGCUCAACCAUUGAGACUAUUACCUGAACUGACGAGCUAGAGAAUGGUAGAGGUAGCUGGAAUUUCUAGUGUAGGAGUGAAAUCCGUAGAUAUUAGAAGGAACACCAAUGGCGUAGGCAGGCUACUGGACCAUUUCUGACGCUGAGGCACGAAAGCGUGGGAGCGAACCGGAUUAGAUACCCGGGUAGUCCACGCCGUAAACGAUGGAUGCUA